AACUUUCGGCAACGGAACACUUGGCUCUCGCAUCGAUGAAGAACGCAGCGAAAUGCGAUAAGUAAUGUGAAUUGCAGAAUUCAGUGAAUCAUCGAAUCUUUGAACGCACCGUGCGCCCUUUGGUAUUCCGAAGGGUAUGCUCGUUUGCGUGUCAUUGUACUCUCAGACUCCCUGAUCCUUUGGAUUCAGGGAGCGGUGGACUUGGGUGUUUGCUGCUUUCCUGGUGGCUCAUCUCAAAUGCGUUAGUGCACCUCUUGGUUGGACAUAGUACGGCGUGAUAAGUAUCUUCGCUGGCACCUCGCAAGAGGGUGGCCGAUUGGGAGCUCUGUGCUUUAAAACCGUCUUCGGCCAAUCUCUGACAACUUGACCUCAAAUCGAGUAGGACUACCCGCUGAACUUAAGCAUAUCAAUAAGCGGAGGCU
rnacentral:misc_RNA from 1 species